CUACGGGCGGCUCCAGUGAGGAAUUUUGCGCAAUGGGCGAAAGCCUGACGCAGCAACGCCGCGUGAGUGAUGAAGACCCUCGGGUCGUAAAGCUCUGUCAAGUGGGAAGAACCUGGUUGGUAUUAAUACUGCCAAUCACUGACGGUACCACUGAAGGAAGCACCGGCUAACUCCGUGCCAGCAGCCGCGGUAAUAGGGAGGGUGCAAGCGUUAUUCGGAAUUAUUGGGCGUAAAGGGCGCGUAGGCGGCCUGGUAAGUCAGAUGUGAAAGCCCGGGGCUUAACCCCGGAAGUGCAUUUGAUACUGUCAGGCUUGAGUAUGGGAGAGGGAAGUGGAAUUCCUGGUGUAGAGGUGAAAUUCGUAGAUAUCAGGAGGAACACCGGUGGCGAAGGCGACUUCCUGGACCAAUACUGACGCUGAGGCGCGAAGGCGUGGGGAGCAAACAGGAUUAGAUACCCCCGUAGUC
rnacentral:rRNA from 1 species